rnacentral:rRNA from 1 species
AUUGAACGCUGGCGGAAUGCUUUACACAUGUAAGUCGAACGGCAGCACGGGGCAACCUGGUGGCGAGUGGCGAACGGGUGAGUAAUACAUCGGAACGUGCCCAAUCGUGGGGGAUAACGUAGCGAAAGUUACGCUAAUACCGCAUACGAUCUACGGAUGAAAGCGGGGGAUCGCAAGACCUCGCGCGAAUGGAGCGGCCGAUGUCAGAUUAGGUAGUUGGUGGGGUAAAGGCUCACCAAGCCGACGAUCUGUAGCUGGUCUGAGAGGACGACCAGCCACACUGGGACUGAGACACGGCCCAGACUCCUACGGGAGGCAGCAGUGGGGAAUUUUGGACAAUGGGCGCAAGCCUGAUCCAGCCAUUCCGCGUGCAGGAUGAAGGCCUUCGGGUUGUAAACUGCUUUUGUACGGAACGAAAAGGCUCUGGUUAAUACCUGGAGUUUAUGACGGUACCGUAAGAAUAAGCACCGGCUAACUACGUG